GAUCCUGUUGGUUCACGAGACCUGUAAGAGCAGCCACAAGUUUCGUGUACGCGAGACUCUGUGUCUGGCUGACGAUAGCCACCAUUUUGGGAAUGUGGUUUGUUUGAUGGGCUAACGUAAUUUCACUUCAAGAGAAAAAAAGAAGCUACCAGAUUUCACACUCCAAGAAGACUGUCAAUUGCUGCUUUGUUAUGAAAACCCAUGAUUUGAGCUUCAUGUGAUGAUGAGACGAGUCCAAAUGCGAAUUCUGUAGUGAAAGUUCAAACUUCAAAGCAUCUGAGUUGUUGUCCUUCUCCUUUCUACACAUGCACAUGCAGUUGAAGAUGUGAAGUUUAUCUCCAUAAUUGAGCAAGGGAAUAUAAUCCUUAAAAAAUAAAAAAUUAAAGACAGCAAAUAGAGUACGAAGUCUUAGGUGGCUCCCUUGAAUCGAGGGUAAGAAAAGGGGGACAUUGUGAUGGAGACACAGAAGGAAUUAAUUACUGUUGUAAAGAGACAGCUUCGUCUGGGUGUUCAUGGUCAUCUUAAUGCAGUUCACGGGCGUGUAUAAGCAGUUGAAAGCACUUCUUAUGUCUAUUCUUCACGGACGACAUUAUGAGGUUUGUGCUCUUCGUUUACUUGUCAGCUUUCCGCUAGCCGUAAAUUCCUCCUUCAAGAUAGACUCUAUAAUUUUAGUUUUAAUUUCUUUUUUGUGUUAAUGUGAUUUAGUCUUGCAAAUUUCGUAAAACUUAUACAUUA